GAUGAACGCUGGCGGCGUGCCUAAUACAUGCAAGUCGAGCGAACAGACGAGGAGCUUGCUCCUCUGACGUUAGCGGCGGACGUGUGAGUAACACGUGGAUAACCUACCUAUAAGACUGGGAUAACUUCGGGAGACCGGAGCUAAUACCGGAUAAUAUAUUGAACCGCAUGGUUCAAUAGUGAAAGACGGUUUUGCUGUCACUUAUAGAUGGAUCCGCGCCGCAUUAGCUAGUUGGUAAGGUAACGGCUUACCAAGGCAACGAUGCGUAGCCGACCUGAGAGGGUGAUCGGCCACACUGGAACUGAGACACGGUCCAGACUCCUACGGGAGGCAGCAGUAGGGAAUCUUCCGCAAUGGGCGAAAGCUUGACGGAGCAACGCCGCGUGAGUGAUGAAGGUCUUCGGAUCGUAAAACUCUGUUAUUAGGGAAGAACAAAUGUGUAAGUAACUAUGCACGUCUUGACGGUACCUAAUCAGAAAGCCACGGCUAACUACGUG
rnacentral:rRNA from 1 species